AGCCACAUUACGUUGAAAUACUGGUCCUCGUCCGAUCACCGAAGUUAAGCAACGUUGAGCCUGGUCACUAUCAAGUUGGGUGACCCUUUGGAAAAAGUAGGUGAUGU